GUGGGGAAUAUUGGACAAUGGGCGAAAGCCUGAUCCAGCCAUGCCGCGUGUGUGAAGAAGGUCUUCGGAUUGUAAAGCACUUUAAGUUGGGAGGAAGGGCAGUAAGUUAAUACCUUGCUGUUUUGACGUUACCGACAGAAUAAGCACCGGCUAACUUCGUGCCAGCAGCCGCGGUAAUACGAAGGGUGCAAGCGUUAAUCGGAAUUACUGGGCGUAAAGCGCGCGUAGGUGGUUUUGUAAGUUGGAGGUGAAAUCCCCGGGCUCAACCUGGGAACUGCCUCCAAAACUGCAUGACUAGAGUACGGUAGAGGGUAGUGGAAUUUCCUGUGUAGCGGUGAAAUGCGUAGAUAUAGGCAGGAACACCAGUGGCGAAGGCGACUACCUGGACUGAUACUGACACUGAGGUGCGAAAGCGUGAGGAGCAAACAGGAUUAGAAACCCGAGUAGUCC
rnacentral:rRNA from 1 species